UACGUAGGGGGCAAGCGUUGUCCGGAAUCAUUGGGCGUAAAGCGCGUGUAGGCGGCUUCGUAAGUCCGUUGUGAAAGUCCAGGGCUCAACCCUGGAAUGCCGAUGGAUACUGCGGAGCUAGAGUCCGGAAGAGGCGAGUGGAAUUCCUGGUGUAGCGGUGAAAUGCGCAGAUAUCAGGAAGAACACCCGUGGCGAAGGCGGCUCUCUGGAACGCAACUGACGCUGAGACGCGAAAGCGUGGGGAGCAAACAGG
rnacentral:rRNA from 1 species